rnacentral:rRNA from 1 species
GCUUAACACAUGCAAGUCGAGGGGCAGCAUGGUCUUAGCUUGCUAAGGCUGAUGGCGACCGGCGCACGGGUGAGUAACACGUAUCCAACCUGCCGUCUACUCUUGGCCAGCCUUCUGAAAGGAAGAUUAAUCCAGGAUGGCAUCAUGAGUUCACAUGUCCGCAUGAUUAAAGGUAUUUUCCGGUAGACGAUGGGGAUGCGUUCCAUUAGAUAGUAGGCGGUUUAACGGCCCACCUAGUCAACGAUGGAUAGGGGUUCUGAGAGGAAGGUCCCCCACAUUGGAACUGAGACACGGCCCAAACUCCUACGGGAGGCAGCAGCGAGGAAUAUUGGUCAAUGGGCGAUGGCCUGAACCAGCCAAGUAGCGUGAAGGAUGACUGCCCUAUGGGUUGUAAACUUCUUUUAUAAAGGAAUAAAGUCGGGUAUGCAUACCCGUUUGCAUGUACUUUAUGAAUAAGGAUCGGCUAACUCCGUGCCAGCAGCCGCGGUAAUACGGAGGAUCCGAGCGUUAUCCGGAUUUAUUGGGUUUAAAGGGAGCGUAGAUGGAUGUUUAAGUCAGUUGUGAAAGUUUGCGGCUCAACCGUAAAAUUGCAGUUGAUACUGGA